rnacentral:tRNA from 1 species
ACCCCUGCUGUAGGGCAAUGGAUAGCGCGUUGGACUUCUAAUCCAAAGAUCGUGGAUUCAAUUUCCACCUGGGAUG